CCUACGGGGGGCAGCAGUGAGGAAUAUUGGUCAAUGGGCGCGAGCCUGAACCAGCCAAGUCGCGUGAGGGAAGACGGUCCUAUGGAUUGUAAACCUCUUUUGUCGGGGAGCAAAAGACGCCACGCGUGGCGUUCCGAGAGUACCCGAAGAAAAAGCAUCGGCUAACUCCGUGCCAGCAGCCGCGGUAAUACGGAGGAUGCGAGCGUUAUCCGGAUUUAUUGGGUUUAAAGGGUGCGCAGGCGGAAGAUCAAGUCAGCGGUAAAAUUGAGAGGCUCAACCUCGUCGAGCCGUAGAUACUGGUUAUCUUGAGUGAGUGAGAAGUAUGCGGAAUGCGUGGUGUAGCGGUGAAAUGCAUAGAUAUCACGCAGAACUCCGAUUGCGAAGGCAGCAUACCGGCGCUCAACUGACGCUCAUGCACGAAAGUGUGGGGAUCGAACAGGAUUAGAUACCCGAGUAGUC
rnacentral:rRNA from 1 species